GAUGAACGCUGGCGGCGUGCUUAACACAUGCAAGUCGAACGGAAAGGCCCAAGCUUGCUUGGGUACUCGAGUGGCGAACGGGUGAGUAACACGUGGGUGAUCUGCCCUGCACUUCGGGAUAAGCCUGGGAAACUGGGUCUAAUACCGGAUAGGACGAUGGUUUGGAUGCCAUUGUGGAAAGUUUUUUCGGUGUGGGAUGAGCUCGCGGCCUAUCAGCGUGUUGGUGGGGUAAUGGCCUACCAAGGCGUCGACGGGUAGCCGGCCUGAGAGGGUGUACGGCCACAGUGGGACUGAGAUACGGCCCAGACUCCUACGGGAGGCAGCGAUGGGGAAUAUUGCACAAUGGGCGCAAGCCUGAUGCAGCGACGCCGCGUGGGGGAUGACGGCCUUCGGGUUGUAAACUCCUUUCGCUAGGGACGAAGCGUUUUUGUGACGGUACCUGGAGAAGAAGCACCGGCUAACUACGUG
rnacentral:rRNA from 1 species